rnacentral:tRNA from 1 species
GGCAAGUAGUAGUGUUAAGGAGCACGCCGCGCAAGCGGAAAUCACGGUUCGAAUCCGUGCGCUUGCCA